GGUUCCGUAGUGUAGCUGUAAACACCCUGGGCUUUGAAUCCAGUAACGCGAGUUCGGAUCUCGCCACGACGU
rnacentral:tRNA from 1 species